rnacentral:misc_RNA from 1 species
UUUGCCAUUUAGAUUGUUUAAUAUGAGAUUUAAUUGUGUGAUUUGAUCAAGUUUUGAGUGAUUCAAAGCUGGUUGCAUUCAUCAAUAUGGCGGCAUGUGUGUGGGUGCUCACCAUGGUUGCGCCAUGAAGAAAAUGAACACCCCAUACGAGUGUUUGAUGUUUUUGCGCAUGGUUAUGGGCCAAGUUGUGCAAUUGUUGUACAUUUAAAGCCCAUAAUUAGGCCCAUGACUAA